rnacentral:rRNA from 1 species
UACGGGGGGAGCAAGCGUUGUUCGGAUUUAUUGGGCGUAAAGAGCUCGUAGGCGGUUCGGUAAGUCGGCUGUGAAAUCUCCACGCUCAACGUGGAGGGGUCAGUCGAAACUGCCGUGACUCGAGUCCGGUAGAGGAGUGUGGAAUUCCCGGUGUAGCGGUGAAAUGCGCAGAGAUCGGGAGGAACACCCGUAGCGAAGGCGGCACUCUGGGCCGGUACUGACGCUGAGGAGCGAAAGCGUGGGGAGCACACAGG